AAGGAGUGGAUGAGGAAACACAAACUGCUGUUACUUCCAACACCGCCAAGCUGCUGGUGAAACAGAAGAGGAAGCAUUUGAGGCCUUAUUCGGGAAAGAACAACCAGGUCGGGUAAGGUUGUAUGGAAGAUCUGUGACAAAGACUGAU